rnacentral:rRNA from 2 species
GUAGGUGGGGUAACGGCUCACCUAGGCGACGAUCCCUAGCUGGUCUGAGAGGAUGACCAGCCACACUGGAACUGAGACACGGUCCAGACUCCUACGGGAGGCAGCAGUGGGGAAUAUUGCACAAUGGGCGCAAGCCUGAUGCAGCCAUGCCGCGUGUAUGAAGAAGGCCUUCGGGUUGUAAAGUACUUUCAGCGGGGAGGAA